CGAAGGGCAUAGCAGGGGCUCUAGAGCAGGGUUGGGAACCUCUGCUUUAGACUAACCACAUAAAUACACACAUACACAUACACACUCUCUCUCUCACACACACACACACACACACACACAGAGACACACACACACACACCGAGUGAAGAGAUCCAGGUGAAUUGCAUUACAGUGGCGAAAGCAGAUCAGUGUUUAGCGUGUGCCCUAUUCCCCAUUCAGAGCCAUUAAAAGGCUCAUGAGCAAUUGCUAAUCACACAUUGCUUCUUUAAUGCGUUUAUGGGAUGAAGAUGAAAUCACUGAACAGUAAUAAAUCUUCUUCUUUAAUAUGAGGCAAGGGGAAAGGCUUUUUUUUUCUCUCCACUGAAUGGAGCAACAUCGAUAGUUUGCCCAUAAUUGUCCACAGGCAAAAAAAAAAGGGGGAGAGAGCGAGCGAAAGAAGGAGAAUACCAAGAGACUGGGCUGGGAUUCAUGAAAUUCGUUUGAUAGGAACAGCAGUGGAGGAGAAGGAAAAUCGAUAUCGCCGCAUAGCAGACCCAGGCUGCCUCCAUUUUCCAAAUGUUUGCCUUGCCCUGAAGUUGUUUUUUUUUUUUUUUUUGCAAGUGGUGGAAAGUAGCAUGUUCUGAUUUUGGAUUAAUAAUAUUUCAUGCUGACAGCUUAUUAGCGAACUGCAAGAUAUUGACUUUAGAACCAGAAGCCGAGUAUGACCUGGCUAGUUUAUUUCCUUCCUUUUUUUCUAGCUCUAUUGUAACAACCUCAACGGCGUGCGUCGGUUCCCCUUUCUUCAGGGUCAUGUGUGAGAGUUGAAGGUGAGUUGACUAUACAAACAGCUAGGAAUUUUUCAAUUCAUUAAUGUUUCUGACAAAAACAAGGAGUGAUAUUGUCAGCCUCUCCUCAACCUUCAUCCAGGAGAGGUUGACAUUCUUGUUGUUUAAAUUUGACCUUAGCUGGGGCAUCGAAGAGCAAGACGAUCUGCUCUGUUCUGAGCCGGAUGCAGUUUUCCUAGAUGCCCCUUUGCAGCACCUCACCAUAUCAUUGGACAAUAUUCUAGAUGUGAUCAAACUAGACUCUGCAGGAGUCAAGUGCAGCAUUAGAGAAGCAGAACAACUCAUUAUAACAGACAUCUUCCUCCCCAUCUUUACAACAAGAGAAUCUACAUACCUUGUCCAUGACAGUUUAUAGUCUAUAGUAACACCAAGAAGCUUGGUUUCCUUGCUCAAGAGCCAUAUUGAUCAAUACCAGG
ensembl:lncRNA